rnacentral:rRNA from 1 species
CCUACGGGUGGCAGCAGUGGGGAAUCUUGCACAAUGGGGGGAACCCUGAUGCAGCGACGCCGCGUGAGUGAAGAAGUAUUUCGGUAUGUAAAGCUCUAUCAGCAGGGAAGAAAAUGACGGUACCUGACUAAGAAGCCCCUGAUAACUACGUGCCAGCAGCCGCGGUCAUACGUAGGGGGCAAGCGUUAGCCGGAUUUACUGGGUGUAAAGGGAGCGCAGACGGCUGUGCAAGUCUGGAGUGAAAGGCGGGGGCCCAACCCCCGGACUGCUCGGGAAACUGGAAGGCUGGAGUGCAGGAGAGGAAAGCGGAAUUCCGAGUGUAGCGGUGGAAUGCGUAGAUAUUAGGAGGAACACCAGUGGCGAAGGCGGCUGACUGGACUGCAACUGACGUUGAGGCUCGAAAGCGUGGGGAGCGAACAGGAUUAGAUACCCGAGUAGUC